GAUGAACGCUGGCGGCGUGCCUAAUACAUGCAAGUCGAGCGGACGGACGAGGAGCUUGCUUUUCUUAGGGUAGCGGCGGACGGGUGAGUAACACGUGUAUAACCUACCUAUAAGACUGGGGGAACUACAGGGAACAGGAGCUAAUACCGGAUAAUAUUUUGAACCGCAUUGUUCAAAAGUGAAAGACGGUCUUGCUGUCACUUAUAGAUGGAUCCGCGCUGCAUUAGCUAGUUGUUAAGGUAACGGCUUACCAAGGCAGGGAUGGAAAGCCGACCUAAAGGGGAGGAUGGCUAGCUUGGAAGUGAGGAUGGGCAGAGACUCUGGGGGUGGGCAGCAGUAGGGAAUCCUCCGCAAUGGGGCAGAGCGUGAUGGAGGACCGCCGCGUGAGCGAUGAAGUUGUUCGGAUCGGAGAGCUCUGUUAUUAGGGAAGAAGAAAAGUGUAAGUAACUGUGCAGAUAUUGACGGUACCUAAUCAGAAAGCCACGGCUAACUACGUG
rnacentral:rRNA from 1 species